GAAACGUCUUCCACCUCUGCAUCUGAAACCUGCUGUCUGUCAGCAAACACUGCACUCUGCUGCCACUUAGAGGUCAUGGCUGCAGGCUCAUUUAAUCCCAGUUUCAAGCAGGGUCGACAGGGGCAGGGGCAUUCUUGUGCCGUCUCAUUCUGCAACAGUUCCUGCCAGGAUGUCCAAAGAGACGACAUGAAUCUUGAGUUUGUCCUCCAAAGAUUUGACAGUAAAUGUAGGAAAGACGGAGACGAGCUCAGACUUCAACAAACAUCUCUCCAGGACCAACCCAGAAGGCUGGGAGCUGUAGAGAUCAGUCCUGCUGAGCGACAUGUCAAACAGCGGGUUAUUCUGAGUGAACGAGACCCGAUCGUUCAUAUGGUCCACUGCUGUCGCCAUGCUUUGCAGAGUCCAGUAUCACCUCUACUUCCUGUUCAGGAUCUUUUAUAUCACGCCGAGGCAGGGCAUGAUGUUUAGAAACUCAAUCAGAAACUCUGAUUGCAACAGAGCAUACGCAGGUCAAAAAAAUCACAUGGACUUUUAUUACAGCGAGGGAGGAACUGUAUGAGAUUUGUAGCUGAGGCGGCUAAAACCCAGCAGCAGCAGGGCCGUUUGUAGAAAGAGGAAGUUUCCAAAGAGGCUUGCAAAACAGAGAAAAUUGUUUCAAAUAAAGACGGACUUUUUGUCAGUUGCUGAUAUUGAUUUGUGAAAUGAUUAUGGACAUGUUUCAUCACAAGGUCUGUUGGUUAAACUUGUGCCAGAGCUACCCCAUGUAACAGCCCACAGAGGAGGGAGAGAUGCUGUUACUGGGUUUGAGCAAUUAGAAGCAUUCUACUGUAUUCUGUUCCAUUCCAUUCUGCUUUGA